rnacentral:rRNA from 1 species
GACGAACGCUGGCGGCGUGCCUAAUACAUGCAAGUCGAACGCUUCUUUCCUCCCGAGUGCUUACACUCAAUUGGAAAGAGGAGUGGCGGACGGGUGAGUAACACGUGGGUAACCUACCCAUCAGAGGGGGAUAACACUUGGAAACAGGUGCUAAUACCGCAUAACAGUUUAUGCCGCAUGGCAUAAGAGUGAAAGGCGCUUUCGGGUGUCGUUGAUGGAUGGACCCGCGGUGCAUUAGCUAGUUGGUGAGGUAACGGCUCACCAAGGCCACGAUGCAUAGCCGACCUGAGAGGAUGAUCGGCCACACUGGGACUGAGACACGGCCCAGACUCCUACGGGAGGCAGCAGUAGGGAAUCUUCGGCAAUGGGCGAAAGUCUGACCGAGCAACGCCGCGUGAGUGAAGAAGGUUUUCGGAUCGUAAAACUCUGUUGUUAGGGAAGAACAAGGACGUUAGUAACUGAACGUCCCCUGACGGUAUCUAACCAGAAAGCCACGGCUAACUACGUG